GCAACGAUCUAUCUUCUUUUCAAAAUAUGUGUAUUAUUAAAAACAUAAUAAAUUUGCAGUAUUUGGAAUUCAAAAUUUAUUCUUUACUUUAUAAGCCCAGCUUUGAAUUCUUCAAUAAGCAACAUAUUCGUUUUUUGUAUGUUAAAUAAGGUUAAUUUUAAACGAGGAUACAUGUACCACUAAAUUUUAACAAAAUCCUAUUAAAAAUUAAAUUUGUUUUUUCCCUAACUUUUAAAUUACUUGUUUGCAGGUAUUUCAGUUUAAAUAGACAUCUUAAAGGAGUAUUUGAGUUCUUUUUUCUGACUGUAUUCAAUUAGAAUUGGAUUUCCUUAUGGCUUAAUGCCGCUUGAAAGAUAUGGAAAUAUGACAUUAACAAAUUUAUACAGAAGCCAUUUGACGUUCAAUUCCUUAUUCUAUUUUCCAGUAGUAGUAUUGCAUUGAAUUACCAGCACUAGAAUUUCCCUUAAAAUUUGUUAUAUUUACUUUUCUCCUUAAUAUUGAUGGAUGUUCAAAUGUAUGAUUUUUCACCUUCGCGCUACCUAUUUAUAAAUUUUUUCUUCACACUUUGAUAUUUUAUUGUCAGUUAGUAUUAAUAUGAGCCUAAUGCAUCUUGGCCCGGAUUUAUUUCGACGCAGGGAUUUUGAAGGCAAUAAAUAUAAUCAUUAACACUUUAGGUAAAUGAAUCUAAAUUCUCGUAAAUUUUUUUUUUGUUUAAAUCAAAUUUAAUUUUCGGCCACAUUUUA